AGAGUGGAGAGGAAGAGAAGGAAGGAAAAGCUCGGUGACUCACUUCCAGCUGAACAAUGCCACAUCUCAGCCCUGCGCCGGGGGAGGGGCACGCCUGUCAACAGCCAGGGCCCGGCUGAAGGACGGUCCGGUCCGGAAGGGGGGACCCCAUCCAGAGAGCCUUGCCCUCCCCACCCCCCCAUCUGCCCUUGGAGGUAUGAACUCAGCAUCCCAGCACUAGAUGCUAUGGCUGUGCUUCCCCCUCUGACCAAACAAAACUGGGGUGCUCUCCGUUUAUCCUCAGCAGAAUUCUCCAGGUCCGACGGCCCCACCAGGCACAGCCCAGCCCGGGACCCCUGUCUCUAGGAGCCUGAAGCCCCCCUGGAACCCCUGUAGGACUCUCUUCCAGCUGUGCCUGCUGCCUGUGUGCUCCUCACCCCCCCACCCUUGUCCUCUUGGUCCUUCAGGCUCCAGCCCCUUCUCUGACACUGCCUCCUGGCCCUGAGUCCUUCCUGCCCCAACCAUGGUUUCUGUUCCUUAUUUUCUGGAUAGUGAGCCACCCUCACUCCCUCUCACCUAGACUAUUGGCUCUAAAGGGUAGGCUCUAGAAUUUCUUUGUUGUUGUUGUCAUUGUUGUCUUUUUAGGGCCGCACCCAAGGCAUAUGGCGAUUCCCGGGCUAGGGCUCGAUUUGGAGCUGCAAGUGUCGGCCUUCACCACAGCCACGCCAGAUUCGAUCUGCAUCUUCGACCUACACUACAGCUCAUGGCAACACUGGAUCCUUAACCCAUGGAGUGAGGCCAGGGAUCGAACCCGUGUCUUCAUGGAUACUAGUCAGGUUCAUAACCCGCUGAGCCUCAAGGGGAGCUCCCUAGAAUUUCUUCUGUCUCUGGAACUCCCUCCCCCUCCUCCCAGCAGAGCCUUGGAAAUGAGCUAGUGCCCAGCAAGGUUUUGAGAGAUGACUAGGAAGGGAUGAGAAGAACAGAAAAGGCAAGAAGAGCUUCUUCUUGGGCCUCUGCUCGCUAGGUCACUGGUUUCUCUCUGGACUUGACUCUCCUGGACAGGGCCCCUCCCCAUUCAGCAGAGGGAGGGUUUCCCACCAGGCCCCACCCACACCAGGUCCCUGAGAGCCAGAGCUGGGCAGGGCCUUGUCUACUGCACUAACCAGGAGCCAAUCCUGUGCUGAGCUCACUUACCCCACAGUAGCCUUGUGACCAGGUGUUGCUUAUGUGCCUCAGUUUACACUUGUGGAAACUGAGGCUUCGAGAGGCAGGAGAAUUGCCCAGGCCACCCAGCUGGUAAGCGGCGGAGCCCCAAAGCCUGUGCCCUGCACCACCUCCCCCAUGGGACCAUCUGGCCCCUCAGCAGCCUUGCAUCUUUUUCCAGGUUUGCCCUCUGACUCUCCCUGGUCUCCGACCUUGAACUUUCGCUCUGCUUUGUCUGGCCUGAAACUCUGCCUCUUUGUUCCUAUCCUCACCCUUUGCCUGACAAUGUCUCCUUUAAUGGGCCCCUGAGGCAGAAUGAAGUCCACCUGUGGUUGAGGGCAAUUUGUGGCUCAGCGGUAAUGAACCAGACUGGUAUCCGUGAGGAUGCGAGUUUGAUCCCUGGCCUUGCUCCGGCAUUGCCGUUCCUGGGCACCAGCAGCACUGUGCUCACUAAAUGUUCCCAGUUGGCCCCCAGCCUUCUUUCUGGCUCUCUCUCUCUCUCUCUCUCUCUCUCUCUCUCACACACACACACACACACACACACACACCACUGCCGCCUUGCCUUCAGAGCCUGCAUAAUCCCCAUUGCCAAUGAUGAUGGAAAAAACAGAUAAUGGGCUCUGGGAAAUGCAUGGGGCAGACUCUCCUUGUGGUACAAACUCAAGGGUGUGAGCCCAGGCCGCAGAUAGCAUGUAAUUAUUUGGUAAUAAAUCUCAUUCCAGCCCCAAGCCAGUUGUCCCUGCUUUUUCCCCUCUCUUUCCUGUGCUCCUUGCCAGGCCCACAAUGUCUCGGUGUCGGAUAUGAAAUAUGGUUGUGAUUUUCAUGUCUAACCAAAGUCAAGGCUGAUUCCUCGAUGAGGGCAGUUUUGCUGGAAGAUAAAGACUGACCCAGAUUCCUGUGUGUUGAUGCUAUGGAAGAGACCGGGUUUCCAGGGGAGGCGAGAGAUGGACACCGUUUGGAUGGAGGAGAGGUGAAUUCUUUGCCAAGGGGGAUUCGAGUGACCCAGCUGGGAGUGGCUGUUAGCAUACCUGGGAUGGACCUGACUCACUCUGUGUGACCUUCAUGACGUAGAGUUAGGAACACAGACUUGGUAGGAUGACACUUCACUACCCGCUUCAAAUGAGUGUGGCCGAGUGACUUGCUUUGGCCAAUGACCUGUGAGUAGGAUUGAUACAUGCCACUUCCAGGUGGCCACGAUGAGAGCAAAAGUGUUAACCCUCAAAUCCCCUUCUGGCUGCCAUGAUGGUUGUGAACAAUGAUGUCGCUAGAAGCUUCCUUCAGCCUGGAUCCCUGAGUGAGGACAGCAUAGCUCAGAAAUCUCCAGGUGACCUGCAGUGCUCAUGUGGCAUGUGAGAGAAAUACAUCUUUACUGUUU
rnacentral:lncRNA from 1 species